GUCCGGGCUCCGCAGGGCAUGAUGCCGGGUAACGCCCGGGCGGAAAGAAAUGACCCCGGGCUUAGUCCGGGGUAUCAUCUUUUCGACAGACAGCGCAACAGAAAAUAAACCGUCCGGCGUUCCGGCGCCGGAUAAGGGUGAAACGGCGGGGUAAGAGCCCACCUCGGCGCCGGUAACAGCGCCGGAACGGCAAGCCUCAUCAGGAGCAAAGUCAAACAGCGGCUGGACGGCCCGUCCAAAAGCCGCGGGUAGACUGCGUAAAGGCCGGUUUUAAGGCCGGUUCAAGAUAAAUGGCAGCCUGAUAAAAGCUAAAAACUUUUGUCACUGAACCCGGCUUAUGGUUCAUCGCUUUUU
rnacentral:RNase_P_RNA from 1 species